rnacentral:rRNA from 1 species
GACGAACGCUGGCGGCGUGCCUAAUACAUGCAAGUUGAGCGCUGAAGGUUGGUACUUGUACCAACUGGAUGAGCAGCGAACGGGUGAGUAACGCGUGGGGCAUCUGCCUUUGAGCGGGGGACAACAUUUGGAAACGAAUGCUAAUACCGCAUAAAAACUUUAAACACAAGUUUUAAGUUUGAAAGAUGCAAUUGCAUCACUCAAAGAUGAUCCCGCGUUGUAUUAGCUAGUUGGUGAGGUAAAGGCUCACCAAGGCGAGGAUACAUAGCCGACCUGAGAGGGGGGUCGGCCACAUUGGAGCUGGGACGCGGCCCAAAGUCCUACGGGAGGCAGCAGUAGGGAAUCUUCGGCAAUAGACGAAAGUCUGACCGAGCAACGCCGCGUGAGUGAAGAAGGUUCUCGGAUCGUAAAACUCUGUUGGUAGAGAAGAACGUUGGUGAGAGUGGAAAGCGCAUCAAGUGACGGUAACUACACAGAAAGGGACGGCUAACUACGUG